rnacentral:rRNA from 1 species
UACGGAGGAUGCAAGCGUUAUCCGGAUUCAUUGGGUUUAAAGGGUGCGUAGGCGGCUUUUUAAGUCAGCGGUGAAAUUUUGUCAGCUUAACUGUAACAGUGCCGUUGAUACUGGGGAGCUAGGAUUUGGUUGCUGUGGGUGGAAUGUGUGGUGUAGCGGUGAAAUGCUUAGAGAUCACACAGAAUAUCGAUUGCGAAGGCAGCUCACAAAGCCAAGAUUGACGCUGAGGCACGAAAGUGUGGGGAUCAAACAGGA